AUCCAUUCCAUUUUCUUGGUUUUCGCUUCUUCUAAAUCUAUAAUCUGAAAGAAAUACUAAAUAUUUCUUGUAACUAUCAAUUCCUUCUAAAUUACUCAUUCUCCGCAUUUCGAUUCAAUUCCUCCUCAUUUCUGUAGAUCUUCACCAUGUCAUAUUUGUUUAAUAAUUCUAAAUUUCAUAAUUUAGGGUUUUAACAGAGAGAUAAAGUGCAAGUCUUGCGAUUGGUACCAGAGAUAGGUGAUGGCGGAUCCCCACAAGUCCGCCAAAGGUUGAUGCUUGAAUAUCUAAGUUUUGCUUUCUUUGGGUUAGGGUUUGAGGGAACGGUGGGGGGAGAAGAGUUUGCAUCAAAUUGCUUGCUUUUUCCUUGUUUUUCUUUCUUUCUAUUGGAAAACAUACCUUGAAAUAAUGGGUUAAAGGGUUUUCAAAUUGCUUUUCCUUGUUUUUCUUUCUUCUUCAUUUUUUUGCUGCAGUUUUCCAUGCUUUCAAUUAAUAGGUGUUGCCUCGUCAGUUAUGGCUGGUGCUGACUAAUUUGAUGAUAUCUGUGGUUCCUACUAAUGUUGGAAAGCUGAGCGUAAAAUAGGGAAGGCAAUAGUUUGAGAUGGUGUUUGUUUAUGGGAUAAUCCGGUAUAUGAAACCGUUAAGCUCAAUCAAGAGCCAAAAUCAGGGAAGAUUCAUGAGAAAAUAUACUACUUUGUCGUGGGGAGAAUAUACCAGACGCAAGCCCCUCCUUCCUGAAGUUCAUCCAUCAAAGAUGAAUACAAUUCUUGGAUAAGGGGACAAAGGCAGAGAAGGAGAUAUGGGACUUUGACGAGUUUGAAGGAAUUAGCUGGUUAUCGUUUCAAGAACGUAAGGUGCCCCUGCUUUGCAAACUUUGUCCUAGGCGACUGCAUGUUCUCGAAAAAGAGAAAAAGCCUAAAUGGAGAGCUUUCCCCCCUUUCCGCCCGACUCUUACAAUAAAGAAAGGAUUGGUACUGAACUAGUAGAUACGGUUGAGUCAGUUGUUGAUCCGAACACUAUGUAUGGAUGAUAUGAAUUGCCAAACAAGAAUUCUUGAACAAAAGACAAAGAAAUGAAGAAAAAUAAUAAAGUGGAUUAUCAUACAUAUCUUUCAUGUAGAAAGAUGAAUGAUCAUUCUUUUCUGAGUGAGCUAGAAAGUUCUUUGCCAAUUCCUGACAUUGAAGCCUUGGCAGUUGUGGAGCUAGGUGUUCAUCUUUUUUUCUUUUGGAAGAUAUAGGAGCGAAACAAUCAACCUAUUGAUAUUGAGAUCUCUAAAGCUGGGGUUGUUGGAGAAGCUAUGGUUGAUUUUUCAAUUUAUACCGGGGUAACUAAGGUCAAUGUGUCUCUGCCUCUCAAGAAUUCAAAAUCAGAGGCUAAGUUGCAUAUAGGUUGAAGAAAGUGACCAAAAUUGAAUUCACUAAAAGCUUGAGGGCACAGUUAAGCAAUGGCUACAUGGAAGGGAUUGUUAGAAACAAUUCUGUUGAAGUAAUUUUUCAUUUCUUCAAGCCAUUUUCUUCCCUUUCAUGCAUAGUGGUUAAAUAAAUAGUGGAUUAUAAGGACAUAACACACCUGUCUCCUUGUAUCAGAGGUUAUCUGCCAAUAUUGUAAAUCAUCAGGUACCCUUGUUGAUGCUUUGCUGGUUGAGAAUUUUCAGACUAUCUUUUCUUUCUAAAUAUAUUGUGCUGAAGACUAUUGUUGUUAUUAUAUAUUCUCGUGUAUGGGAAAAGUUUAUAACUUGAACUGUUGGUUGAACUUGUGUAUGUUGGUUGGGGAAAUGGAAAGUAUUUGUUACA